ensembl:lncRNA
GUACGGGAAACAUCAGACCUCACUAGGGCGGGCAUAUUUCCAGGCAUUUGAGAGAUCACUUUCCGAGUUAGAGCACGAAGGCGGGUAGACAGGGCUUGGGGGUCGCUGCCUGAGGUUCUUUGGGCGGGGGGGCGGGGGGGGGCGGGGCAAAUCCCUUGCUUAUGGAGUUCUGGACGUUCCAAUCGGUUUGCGAUGGCCCCUUGCUCACUGAGGUCUUUCACUGGAGACAAGGAGCCUUUGCCAAAGCGCUACACGGAUUACGCAAGCUACCGGAGGCCCAAGCGUUCAUGCCUCCCCAUUUCACAGAUGAAGAAGUGGAGGCCCACACAAGAGAGAGGCCAGCCUAAGAUUUGCUGGGCUAGAGUCCGAUUCUACACACUCCCCCUGGAAGAAGCCCACUACAGGGUCAUCCUCGGAGGAGAGCAGAAGAAAUGGAGACAUUGUUCCUCUCUCUCAGCCCCACAGCCUCGGAGAAGAGAGGGCCAUGGAGACCCAGUGGUUCCUGGUCACAGCAGGCGUGAGGGUUGCUAAAGGGGAAAGAGAGUUGUGAGCCUGCUCCUGUGAAUGGGUGUAACUACCCACCUCUUGAGAAGGAAGCAGACUGACAACUCUGUCAAGCAAGGGUUGGGGAUCAAGAGAAGAAACGGUCUAGACAAACAGCACAGGGUAUCUUCCAUUUCCCAGCCUCUGGGCACAGCUCGCUGGCACCUUCCCAAUUCCUGCCUGCACUGGAGAAAGGUUCCCACGAACAGAGCCCAAGCCCCCAUUUGUCUGCACAGAAAGACCCAGAAGGCUCCCUGGAAAAGGUGACUCCAGGAACCUGGGUGGCUGAGGUUCUACAGAAUCAGUCCAGCCCUCCAGGGCAUCUUGCCCAGCCAUUCACAAAUAUCUGUCCUCCAUCUCACUCCUUCUCAGUUGGCCCAUCUGUAAAAGCAGGAAAAAUACCCAUACUGAACUGGGCUGAAAUGAGUUUUAAACCACAAUUCAGUAACUGUCAGCUCCCUCCUAUACCUUAAGCAACCUGUGAUGGAAAGGCCCUCAUUCCUGCUUAAGGAGGAGAAAAUUGAAGCUUAAGGCUAGAUAAGAGUUUCUCACAACUAGUAAAUACCUGGCAGAGAUGCACAUCAGGGUUUGGCUGAUUCUAAAAAUGUCUGUAUUUUGCCUGAGGCAGAAGUUGCUAUAAAGGUG